rnacentral:rRNA from 1 species
AUUGAACGCUGGCGGCAGGCCUAACACAUGCAAGUCGAGCGGCGGCGGAAAGUAGCUUGCUACUUUGCCGGCGAGCGGCGGACGGGUGAGUAAUGUCUGGGAAACUGCCUGAUGGAGGGGGAUAACUACUGGAAACGGUAGCUAAUACCGCAUAACGUCGCAAGACCAAAGAGGGGGACCUUCGGGCCUCUUGCCAUCAGAUGUGCCCAGAUGGGAUUAGCUAGUAGGUGGGGUAACGGCUCACCUAGGCGACGAUCCCUAGCUGGUCUGAGAGGAUGACCAGCCACACUGGAACUGAGACACGGUCCAGACUCCUACGGGAGGCAGCAGUGGGGAAUAUUGCACAAUGGGCGCAAGCCUGAUGCAGCCAUGCCGCGUGUAUGAAGAAGGCCUUCGGGUUGUAAAGUACUUUCGGCGGGGAGGAAGGUGUUGAGGUUAAUAACCUCAGCAAUUGACGUUACCCGCAGAAGAAGCACCGGCUAACUCCGUGCCAGCAGCCGCCGUAA